rnacentral:rRNA from 1 species
GCAUAUCAAUAAGCGGAGGAAAAGAAACCAACAGGGAUUGCCCUAGUAACGGCGAGUGAAGCGGCAACAGCUCAAAUUUGAAAUCUGGCCUCGGCCCGAGUUGUAAUUUGCAGAGGAUGCUUCUGGCGCGGUGCCUUCCGAGUUCCCUGGAACGGGACGCCACAGAGGGUGAGAGCCCCGUAUGGUUGGACACCAAGCCUGUGUGAAGCUCCUUCGACGAGUCGAGUAGUUUGGGAAUGCUGCUCUAAAUGGGAGGUAAAUCUCUUCUAAAGCUAAAUACCGGCCAGAGACCGAUAGCGCACAAGUAGAGUGAUCGAAAGAUGAAAAGCACCUUGAAAAGGGGGUUAAAUAGUACGUGAAAUUGUUGAAAGGGAAGCACUUAUGACCAGACUUGGGCCGGGCGGCUCAUCAGGGGUUCUCCCCUGUGCACUCCGCCCGGCACAGGCCAGCAUCGGUUUUCGCGGGGGGAUAAGACCGCCGGGAACGUAGCACCCUCCGGGGUGUGUUAUAGCCCGGCGGACGAUACCCUCGCGGGGACCGAGGUCCGCGCUCCGCAAGGAUGCUGGCGUAAUGGUCAUCAGUGACCCGUCUUGAAACACGGACCAAGGAGUCGUCCAUUAGAGCGAGCGUUUGGGUGUAAAACCCGCACGCGUAAUGAAAGUGAACGCAGGUGAGAGCUUCGGCGCAUCAUCGACCGAUCCUGAUGUUCUCGGAAGGAUUUGAGUAAGAGUUUUAACGGACGGACCCGAAAGACAGUGAACUAUGCUUGUAUAGGGUGAAGCCAGAGGAAACUCUGGUGGAGGCUCGCAGCGGUUCUGACGUGCAAAUCGAUCGUCAAAUAUGAGCAUGGGGGCGAAAGACUAAUCGAACUGUCUAGUAGUGU